rnacentral:rRNA from 1 species
UCGACUCCUACGGGGAGGCAGCAGUGGGGGAAUAUUGCACAAUGGGCGCAAGCCUGAUGCAGCCAUGCCGCGUGUAUGAAGAAGGCCUUCGGGUUGUAAAGUACUUUCAGCAGUGAGGAAGGCAGGUACGUUAAUAGCGUGCUUGUUUGACGUUAGCUGCAGAAGAAAGCACCGGCUAACUCCGUGCCAGCAGCCGCGGUAAUACGGAGGGUGCGAGCGUUAAUCGGAAUUACUGGGCGUAAAGCGCAUGCAGGUGGUUCGUUAAGUCAGAUGUGAAAGCCCGGGGCUCAACCUCGGAAUUGCAUUUGAAACUGGCGGACUAGAGUACUGUAGAGGGGGGGUAGGAAUUUCAGGUGUAGCGGUGAAAUGCGUAGAGAUCUGAAGGAAUACCGGUGGCGAAGGCGGCCCCCUCGGACAGAUACUGACACUCAGAUGCGAAAGCGUGGGGAGCAAACAGGAUUAGAUACCCUGGUAG